CGGCAUUGUGUCCCUCACGCUGAUUGGCUCAUGCAUCGUAGCAUCUCUCAGCAUCUCCCCUUGUCUGUCCGCCACUCGCCGUUACAUGGUACGUUGCUGUAACGUUUGUGCUUUUGUGUUUGGUGAAAGUUGGCCCUAAUAAUGAAAAAGAUAACGCCCAUGAUGCCUCCUAAAUGCGCGGAUCAUCUCAUGUUACGAAGGCCAAACGAAGACUCUGACACAGACGAAAGUUAACAGUCUUUAUUUUUCUUCAUAAUAAUGUGCGCUCCUGCGCUGUGCCCGGCUUUCAUAUACGGCCAGUCCGUCUUGACCAGUAUGCACUUCAAUCUCCUCGCCUUUGAUUACUCGAUUUGUGCUCACCUGCGUCCGGGGCUGCACCUGCGUCACUACCCCCGUGCUCUCCCUCCAGCAGCUGAGCACUGGCCUUCGCCGUUCCAUUAUACAACUGUACUGUGCAUAUAAUUGUGUGGGGAAUGGGAAACACAGUCUAGGGAGGGUUGAUAACGGGGUGGAGGGAGGUACGUAAAGGGUAAAUACUGUAUAUACGUAAAUAAUAUAGAAAGUAUCCCGCCUCUACUUCGCGGAUUUUCCCGUUUUGCGGUGAGUCUUGGAACGCAAGUACCGCGAUAGCAGAGGGUUCCCUGUACAGCUAGGUUACAGCCUGUGUCUCGGUGGUUUUAUCUCCAAACGGUCCACUGCUGCUGUUUCACGGUCUGUGUACGACGUUAAGUUUCCAACACGCUCUUAAAAAAACCAAACUAACAUGCUCUAAAACCUAUGUCGGCCUAAAAUGGAUGCCACAACAGAACCAUAAGCUAGCAAAGAACUAGCCAAACAGUGAUCAGGCUGUAAGAGUUAGCCUACAGUUAGCCAGCAGCAGUGAAAUAGUGACAUGAUGACAAACAGUAGUUAAUGAGAAAACCAAAGACGUUUAAAAUUAGUUUGUUUUUUUUCACCGACCAAUUGGACAAAGACCCGACAUUUGUGAAGCUUUAUUUGAGGAACUGGAUCCUGGUUGUGGAGUUAACGUGUAAACAAAGCUGCAGCACAGGUGAACUGGUAACAAAUGUCAAGACCAUGAAACAGACGGAGGCUCAGCCUAAGUAGGUCACAUGACCCGCAGGGGGCACCACACUGGAUCAAGCCACUCAACCCAUUUCACUUUAAACCCUCGUCUGUGCUCCACCUGCCAGAGAAACAAAGAACCACCAGCCAAUCACAGAAAAAACAUCCUUCUCCUUUUACUGAGUGUGAGUAUUAAUGACGCCAUGGUGAUAUAACCUGAAGGCAGCAGCAGGUGCGUUCAAUGUUCUUGGAAAAGUCAGUUUAAUGGACACACCAGUCCAGAAAUGCCCCCCUCUGCCCCCUCUCCUCAGAGUACCUUGCUGGACCAGUAAAUAUUAUUUACACUGCAGUAUCCAGGGCUGCGGUGAUUACUCUGUGACUCACUCACGACUCAAACAUUCCUGACUAUGAAGAAAGUAAAACAUGUUCUUCAGGUAAAGUUUCUUUUUAUUUUGCGUUACUUGUUUUGUUUUUUUUUUUGGGAGGGGGGCGGGGGGGUUAUUUCAGGUUCUAUUCAGACACAACAUGGACCAUGACCAUCACCUAUAGAUAAGAGCCAGUGUCCCCUCGGAUGUCCCUCCUCCAGUCCUGAUUUAUCCACUUGUUGUCUCAGAAUACGAAAUUCAGAUUAUUAUACAGCAAUUGUAACUUUUACAUCACGGCUAUACUGUACUUUACUCAUUAUUACACUGUUAAAAUUCAUUAUUACAUGGUAAUAAUGUUAAAGCGUUUGUAUGCCUCUAGUGUUUGAAUUUUUUUUCUAAAUUCUGUUUGGAUUAUUUAUCCCCUAAUCCCCUGUAUGUAGUGACUUUAGUUGCAGGUAAAUUCAUUUAAUUACACUUUUUUUUUUAAUACUUCCUUUUUUUAAAAUAUCCUAUUUGACCGUCGUGUCACCUUUGAAAAAUGAUAUGGUCUUUGUUGUUGUUGGUUUUUUUGACAAAAAUUCCUUAAUACUUUGCCUUUUACAUGUUUUGGGAGGAUUUUUUGUUGUUUUUUUCAUGAAUAUUUAACUCAGUGAAGAAAAAAAGAAGUGUGUUUUUUCUGUAUACAUCCUGAGUAGAUAACGAGGUGGCUUCAACCUUCACCUUCUGUCUUACACAAUAAGUACAUUUGCAGCUGAUUUUGACAAUGAUAGACGUGUUACUACUGAAGGUUUCGUGUUUUAUUCCACUUCCUAAUUUAAUAAAUAAAUAUACAGACAUAUAUGUAUUUCAACUGAAUGUAUUUCAGUUUGUGCCCUAUUCAUUGGAACAUAUUCAAUAUAAAUAUCCAUUGUUUUAAAUUUCAGUACAACGUCCCUGCAGCUGCUGCUUUCAUAUAAAUACCCCUUUAAUUUUCACCUUUUCUGAAAACAUUUUUGUCCUCUAUGUCACCUCUGAUGCUCCGUACUUUUGAAUGAUCGUGUUUUGUUUGUUUUUGGAAAUUCCUGAAUAUUUUUCUCCGGAAACCAGACCUAACGCCAACGAUGCUGUGAUUUUCUUCUUCUUUUGUACUGCUCUUCGUUAUCUCAUAGCAUGAGCAUCAACGCACACCACGUGCAGGAGCUAUAUGCGUGUGUACGUGAGUGCGUGUGAUUCCACCAGACUACACCGCAGCAGCUCCGGCUACAUUCCCUGGAAAACACCAGCCGAACCGUGAGGCAGGGACAAAAUCCCCUGGUCCUGACUCCGGGGACAGAGUGUUUGGAUCACAACUUCCGGACUGCGUCUGAUUCACCUGAGCUGAUCUAAUACACGUUUCCACAUCAGGAAGAAAAGUCAGAAGCAACAAAAGCUGCGUCUCAAAGUCACGGUCUGCCGCCGUCACAGGAGAAUCUCUGGACUUAAAUGUUUACCAGUUGAGAAUACAUGCACUAGGUGGCGCUAUUGUAACCCAAAGGGGGAUCGAAUGCAAAAGAAGCAAAGAAGGUGUAGCGGCAGACCCAUAUCGCCAUCACCUGGCCUGGGGGACUCCACGACGCCAAGCAGAAUCAUCAGGUUUCUGUUACGUGAACGACAUCGUCCUGGCCGUUUUUGAGGACAUCGGGGCUGGCAAGGUAUAUUACGCAGUGAAUUACCCACGAAGCCAUCUUUAAACUGAUCAUGGCCAAAGUAGUGGAGAUGUACCAGCUGAGCGCAGUGGUCCUUCAGUGUGGAGCCGAUUGAACCUCACCGUUAAAGGCCAAGAGAAGAGGUUUAACCAAGUUGUUCCACUCCUGUUACUGUUAUAAUUUGACUUGGUGUGUUUGCUCUUAAGUCAUUCAUUGUGCAAGUGUUGUGGUUGUUUGUUUUUUUUAACUUGGCUUUUUACUUAUUGCUUACUUUUUACUACUUGGUGAUUUAUUGUAAGUAAAAAUAGGUUUUUAGCACAUUAUUCACUUGGGGUAUGUCUUAAGGCAUAAACUUGCAUUUUGAGGUAUUUAUUGGACUUUUGUAACAGUAACACUCUAGUGUUCCUUGUUUUGGUUCAUUUUCAUGAAAUCAUUAGUACACCAUGGAAGUAAUUGUAGUAAUAAAACAUAAAUUUGUAAUAAAGAAAUUAAUUUUAUUUACGUUUCAAAGUUUUAUGACAACUUUCUCAUUACUGCUAUGCAUCCAGGUUUGUGUGAAGGCAUGCUGUUAUUUUAACAGAUUAAGACAGAUGUUUAGAACAUUUAAUGGACACUAACUGAUAUCUUGAAGUAAAUUAAAUAUUACUAAUUAAAUGUAUUACAAUACAUUUAGCAGACACUUUUAUCCAAAGCGCCAUAUGAAUUGAGUCAAUCAAUGAGAUUUUUUUUCAACUUAGGUUUUUGUGUUUGGACUUAAUUUUGGAUUGAUACAAAUACAAAAAGACAGAGUAAAAGUACAGUUAGGUCAUAGAAUAAGAAGUAUCUUUAAUAAUGGAAAAGUAGAGGAAAAAUGGGUGUUAGCCUAAGGGGAUACAUCUGACUGUGGUGACCUGGGUUUAAUUCAGGCAAGGUAAUUGUGAAAGUUUGCAUCAGUCACCCACAGCGUUAUGUUCAAACUGACUGCUGUGGCUUUCAUUCUUUUUCCAGGUAACAUUUCAAAGGUCAGAGUUAUGUCUUGCCCAAGGCUUUAACGGCAAGGUGAUAUAAAAUUAAACCUUCAUCAGAGCAGUAGUAGUACUUUUAUU